UACGUAGGGUGCGAGCGUUAAUCGGAAUUACUGGGCGUAAAGCGUGCGCAGGCGGUCAGUUAAGUCUGAUGUGAAAGCCCCGGGCUCAACCUGGGGAUGGCAUUGGAAACUGGCUUGCUAGAGUGUGGCAGAGGGGGGUGGAAUUCCGCGUGUAGCAGUGAAAUGCGUAGAGAUGCGGAGGAACACCGAUGGCGAAGGCAGCCCCCUGGGCCGACACUGACGCUCAGGCACGAAAGCGUGGGGAGCAAACGGG
rnacentral:rRNA from 1 species